GUCUCUCUUGCCCUCUGCUGCUCUUGGGUCUGUUGAGGUCUCUUCUCAUGAGCCUCAAGUGUGAGAAGUGGAUGCCAGCUGUGAUUUCCAGAAGCACCCUUUGUACCUUGGCCUCCUGAGAAGAUGGAGCUUUUCCCCAGCUUCUAAGAAAGGGAACAAGAGCUACCCACCAAAGAGAUAUUUUCUUAAGCAAGGACCAAAAGCAGGAAAGCAAACACCCCUUUAACAUUUUGAGGCUUCUGCUGCUGGUUUCACACAGACCCCUGGGAUAAUGAUGCUCACAGCUGCUGCCUGACUACCCACACGGAUUUUUCACGGGAAUAACUGACAAAUUAAAGAGAAGGGUG